GGUUCUUGGCCCAGCGGCAGAGCACCUGCCUUGCAUGCAGAAGGCCCCAGGCUCAAUCCCCAGCAUCUCCC